GGCUGGUCCGAAGGUAGUGAGUUAUCUCACGUGAUUGUUCACAGUCAGUUACAGAUUGAACUCCUUGUUCUACUACUUUCCCCCCUCCUCACUACUGCACUUGAUAGUCUUAA
rnacentral:Y_RNA from 1 species